rnacentral:rRNA from 1 species
AUUGAACGCUGGCGGCAGGCUUAACACAUGCAAGUCGAACGAGUGGCGGACGGGUGAGUAAUGCUUGGGAAUCUAGCUUAUGGAGGGGGAUAACUACGGGAAACUGUAGCUAAUACCGCGUACCAUAGGAUGAGCCCAAGUGGGAUUAGGUAGGUGGUGAGGUAAAGGCUCACCAAGCCGACGAUCUCUAGCUGGUCUGAGAGGAUGACCAGCCACUCUGGGACUGAAACAAUGCCCAGAGUCCUACGGGAGGCAGCAGUGGGGAAUAUUGCGCAAUGGGGGCAACCUGACGCAGCCAUGCCGCGUGAAUGAAGAAGGCCUUCGGGUGGUAAAGUUCUUUCGGUAGCGAGGCGUUAACUACAGAAGAAGCACCGGCUAACUCCGUGCGAGCAGCCGCGGUAAUUC